GUGUCAGCAGCCGCGGUAAUACAGAGGGGGCAAGCGUUGUUCGGAAUUACUGGGCGUAAAGGGCGCGUAGGCGGCCCGCUAAGUCGAACGUGAAAUCCCCAGGCUCAACCUGGGAACUGCGUCCGAUACUGGCAGGCUUGAAUCCGGGAGAGGGAUGUGGAAUUCCAGGUGUAGCGGUGAAAUGCGUAGAUAUCUGGAGGAACACCGGUGGCGAAGGCGGCAUCCUGGACCGGUAUUGACGCUGAGGCGCGAAAGCUAGGGGAGCAAACGGGAUUAGAUACCCUCGUAGUCC
rnacentral:rRNA from 1 species